rnacentral:lncRNA from 1 species
AUUGACUCUGGAGUUUUGAGUUUAUUAAAGAUAUUUGGGUACAGGUCUGUGAAACCUAGCAGCAUGUGGCUAUUGGAUCACAUAGUCCCUUUCUCUGCCAUGUAAGAAGAAAACAUCUCGAAAUAUAACUAUUAGUUGGCUUUGUGGUGUGGGGUUAGUGUGCCAGUCUGAGGUUAGAGCAGAGAUGGGAUCCCAAGCCCUGGGCUUUGUAUUACAUAGUAUUGUAUUUUUGGUGUUGUACUUAAGGGUCAAUUACUGUUUCCAUUAUAAACCCUGUUUUUCAAGGUUUUAUAGCUCACCAAUUUUCAUUUUGGUAUGCAAGUUGCAUGAAUAUACAGGUUUUAAAAAUAGCUCAAAUUGGUCAGUUCCAUUUUUAGAUAUAAAGCAGUAAAAUACACUUUUCAUUGGCUUCAGUUUGUUUUUAAUGUUUCCAAUAUAAAAGUUUCCUCUAUCUUAAAAUGCAAAACACUCAAUUUUUCAUGAAAUUUUAUACCUGUUUUGCAUAAUGAAGAUGAUAAAAAUGGAGAAAAGGAUAAACCAAAUGAAACUUUCAGGAAGAAAACAAAACUCUCUUUUCUUGUCAAGAUUUGUAGGUAAGUGUCAUUUCAGUCAAUGUUCUAAAAAAUCAACAAACUAAUC